GUCUACGCCCAUACCACUCUGAAUGUGCCCGAUCUCGACUGAUCUCAGAUGCUAAGCAGGGUUGGGCCUGGUUAGUACUUGGAUGGGAGAUUGAUUACAAAAGCAGUGUCAUGUACA
ensembl:rRNA 5S_rRNA 5S ribosomal RNA